AGAACGAACGCUGGCGCCGUGCCUAAUACAUGCAAGUCGAGCGGACUUUGCCUUCGGGUAAAGUUAGCGGCGGACGGGUGAGUAACACGUGGGUAACCUGCCCAUAAGACCGGGAUAACAUUCGGAAACGAAUGCUAAUACCGGAUACGCGAAUCGGUCGCAUGAUCGAAUCGGGAAAGGCGGAGCAAUCUGCCACUUAUGGAUGGACCCGCGGCGCAUUAGCUAGUUGGUGGGGUAACGGCUCACCAAGGCGACGAUGCGUAGCCGACCUGAGAGGGUGAUCGGCCACACUGGGAUUGAGAGACGGCUCAGACUCCUACGGGAGGAUCUUGG
rnacentral:sRNA from 1 species